rnacentral:rRNA from 1 species
ACUGGUUGAUCCUGCCAGUAGUCAUAUGCUUGUCUCAGAGAUUAAGCCAUGCAUGUCUAAGUACAUACCUUAAAACGGUGAAACCGCGAAUGGCUCAUUAAAUCAGCUAUGGUUCCUUAGAUCGUAAACGCUACAUGGAUAACUGUAGUAAUUCUAGAGCUAAUACAUGCCUUGAAUCCCUGACCCGCAAGGGGACGGGUGCAUUUAUUAGAACAGAACCAACCGGGUGCGGCUUAUGCUGUGCCUGUUACAUUCUGUGAUGACUCUGGAUAACUUUACUGAUCGCAGUCGGCCUUGUGUGUCGGCGACGGAUCUUUCAAAUGUCUGCCCUAUCAAUUUGUUGGUAGGUGAUUUGCCUACCAUGAUGAUAACGGGUAACGGGGAAUCAGGGUUCGAUUCCGGAGAGGGAGCCUGAGAAAUGGCUACCACAUCCAAGGACGGCAGCAGGCGCGAAAAUUACCCACUCCCAGCACGGGGAGGUAGUGACGAAAAAUACGGAUACGGGACUCAAUUGAGGCUCCGUAAUUCGAAUGAGUACAAUUUAAAUCCUUUAACGAGGACCAAUUGGAGGGCAAGUCUGGUGCCAGCAGCCGCGUAACUCCAGCUCCAAAAGCGUAUAUUAAAGUUGCUGCAGUUAAAAAGCUCGUAGUUGGAUCUGGGUAGUGCGAUCGCAUGCUGUUGCUUGUUCACGGUCUUGGUUACGAUCAGGGCAGUGGUCAGCUCGGCGUAGUGGUUGUGCAACCUGUCAGCCGUGUCUGUGUUUUAUUAAACAGGUGUCGAUGGGUUAAUGAGUAUUGUAUCUUAUUGACCUGUUGGCAUGCUUUCGGAUGCCUUUAAACGGGUGUCGGGGGCGGACGGCAUCUUUACUUUGAACAAAUUUGAGUGCUCAAAGCAGGCCUAUGCGCCUGAAAAUUCUUGCAUGGAAUAAUGAAAUAGGACUUCGGUUCUAUUUUGUUGGUUUUCGGAUCCGAAGUAAUGGUUAAGAGGGACAGACGGGGGCAUUUGUAUGGCGGUGUUAGAGGUGAAAUUCUGGGAUCGCCGCCAGACAAACUACAGCGAAAGCAUUUGCCAAGAAUGUUUUCAUUGAUCAGGAGCGAAAGUCAGAGUUUCGAAGACGAUCAGAUACCGUCGUAGUUCUGACCAUAAACGAUGCCAACUGACGAUCCGCGUUGGUUCUAUAAUUGACAUCGCGGGCAGUCCCCGGGAAACCUUUAAGUCUUUGGGCUCCGGGGGGAGUAUGGUUGCAAAGCUGAAACUUAAAGGAAUUGACGGAAGGGCACCACCAGGAGUGGAGCCUGCGGUUUAAUUCGACUCAACACGGGAAAACUCACCCGGCCCGGACACUGUGAGGAUUGACAGAUUGAAAGCUCUUUCUUGAUUCGGUGGUUGGUGGUGCAUGGCCGUUCUUAGUUGUGGA